AGUGUGCCCUUUCCUUCUUGACUUUUUAGCAGUUCUGGGUAAAUAUUGAUUUGCCCCCAGUUUACCUUCUCCCUGACUGGUCAUUUGCAGACUCAGGAACUAGCUUCUGUAGGGACUUGCCUUUUCUGUUACUUUCUGGCCCUUUCACCACCCCCUCUUCCUCCCUCCAAGUGGCAUUGUAAAACUCACAGUGACAAAGAGACAGAGUAGGGUUCGAGGCCCCUGUUCCUGGGGACUUGAAGGCGGUUUUACAUACGGGUCAGACACGGCUGGAGGCCAAGGUCAAGUUGAAAGUUGCAGUCUAGCCAGCAUGAGAACUGCCAUGCAAGCGUGGAGACCCAGGCAGCAGCAAAAGGCCCAUUGCCCGCAUGCCCUCA
ensembl:misc_RNA